GACGAACGCUGGCGGCGUGCCUAAUACAUGCAAGUCGAGCGGAAGUUGGAGAGCUUGCUCUUCAACUUUAGCGGCGGACGGGUGAGUAACACGUGGGCAACCUGCCCUGCAGAUCGGGAUAACUCCGUGAAACCGGUGCUAAUACCGAAUAGUUUUCGCCACCUCCUGGUGGCGUACGGAAAGACGGUUUCGGCUGUCACUGCAGGAUGGGCCCGCGGCGCAUUAGCUAGUUGGUGGGGUAACGGCCCACCAAGGCGACGAUGCGUAGCCGACCUGAGAGGGUGAUCGGCCACACUGGGACUGAGACACGGCCGAGACUCCUACGGGAGGCAGCAGUAGGGAAUCUUCCGCAAUGGACGAAAGUCUGACGGAGCAACGCCGCGUGAGUGACGAAGGUUUUCGGAUCGUAAAACUCUGUUGUGAGGGAAGAACAAGUACCAAUUAACUACUGGUACCUUGACGGUACCUCACCAGAAAGCCACGGCUAACUACGUGCCAGCCGCCGCGGUAAAAC
rnacentral:rRNA from 1 species